rnacentral:rRNA from 1 species
CACGUAGGGGGCGAGCGUUGUCCGGAUUUAUUGGGCGUAAAGGGCUCGUAGGCGGUUUGUCGCGUCGGGAGUGAAAACCUCGGGCUUAACUCGGGGCUUGCUUUCGAUACGGGCAGACUGGAGGUAUGCAGGGGAGAACGGAAUUCCUGGUGUAGCGGUGAAAUGCGCAGAUAUCAGGAGGAACACCGGUGGCGAAGGCGGUUCUCUGGGCAUGACCUGACGCUGAGGAGCGAAAGUGUGGGGAGCGAACAGG